GAUGAACGCUAGCUACAGGCUUAACACAUGCAAGUCGAGGGGAAACGACAUCGAAAGCUUGCUUUUGGUGGGCGUCGACCGGCGCACGGGUGAGUAACGCGUAUCCAACCUGCCCACCACUUGGGGAUAACCUUGCGAAAGUAAGACUAAUACCCAAUGAUAUCCCACGAAGGCAUCCGAAUGGGAUUAAAGAUUUAUCGGUGAUGGAUGGGGAUGCGUCUGAUUAGCUUGUUGGCGGGGUAACGGCCCACCAAGGCUACGAUCAGUAGGGGUUCUGAGAGGAAGGUCCCCCCACAUUGGAACUGAGACACGGUCCAAACUCCUACGGGAGGCAGCAGUGAGGAAUAUUGGUCAAUGGGCGAGAGCCUGAACCAGCCAAGUAGCGUGCAGGAUGACGGCCCUAUGGGUUGUAAACUGCUUUUAUAAGGGAAUAAAGUGGGUCACGUGUGACUUUUUGCAUGUACCUUAUGAAUAAGGACCGGCUAAUUCCGUG
rnacentral:rRNA from 1 species